rnacentral:lncRNA from 1 species
GCCGGGGGCAGGCACUAAUUUUGGGAUGAUGAACCAGGGGUUGGACAGACAGCAUGGGUCUGACUGGGAAUUGAGCCAGCUGGUCCACUCAUCCUCAGUGUCCCGUUGACUCUCAGAGGCUUCUCCCUAGCUUCCACACUGUGAAGAUAAUUCAGGACUGCUGUGACAAUUGCUACCUCCUGGUCCUCAGAGGGAGGUUGUCCAUGGAUGCCUAAUUGCGAUGCCAGCUUCUGGGAUGGACAUGGACCCAGGACCCGUCAUCACUGGGCAGCUUAACAGAGUGCUUCCUCGACCAAUGUGCGGCCUCCAGUAGUAUCAAGCUGGAGAGGGCCCUCUGGAGAGUGUGGAUGGGGACCAGUGCCAGAGUGUGUGCCCUGUGAGCCGUCCUCUCAGUUCCUCUAGCCUCAGGAGAUGUGCCAGGUGAGACACUGGCU